UGGAAAACAGCCCAUGAUGAGGGAAAUUCACCAUUUUGCACUUUUUCAAUCUUUAAAUAAAAAGGAAACUGAUAAAAAUGGAAAGAUACCCCUAGGCCUUUCCUACUGCGGAUAACGGUAACAAAACAGCAUUAUCCGAUCUAAACUCAGCUGUGCCUCAAACACUAUCAUAAGUGCUGGAAGCGUUAAAGGUACAAGCAACAUUAGCCUAGAAAUGCCUUCGGUAGCCAGACGUGAAUUAAAAGGCUCCUCAGAUGCCGGCGAAAUGUCCUACACGAGUAAGGAAAGGAAAGAGAACUGAAUAUAGUUAAGUGGACACUGAUCGGAGAGGAAGCAGCACGGGUUCCAGACACCUAACGGGCAGCCUUGGGGAUGCAGUAAAGGCCGACCCUUUCCUUCCCUUCCCUUGAGUGGCCGGACGCCUCACCCAGGAGACGACUCAGGGAACUCAACAACGUCUCGGGAGCAACGGCCCGGCGGAAAAGGAAACGGAGGUCCAGGAAAGGGAUGUGAUUUUCCAAAGACACACCUGUGAAAGGUAAUGAUUUCAUUCAACUGGUCCUAAGUGCCAGGUGCACUAAGAUUGUCUGCUAUUUUCACAAUAACCCCAAAACAUCCGUGUUGAACCAUGAAAGGACCUCAGGAAUGAAAGCCACACACAGCAAAGCAACAAGAUAAAAGAGGCAUGAGUUCCUAAUGCAAGAGGCACUGAACAAAUCAAUACACACUGCCUUCCAGACCUCUGCAUGAAAGAAAAAAAACUGCUGUCCUGUGUAAGACACUUUUGUGUUUUCUAUUGUAUGGGGUCAAACCUAAUCAUAACAGAUAUAUUACACUUUACCUUAUAGAAUUCUUAAACAGCAACCUUCUACAGUGAUGCAAAAACAGGCCCAAAGAGUAAAAAUUAGUUCAAAGUUAUCCAGCCAAGUAGCCAGGGUGAGAUUCUGACCUGAGUUUGUCUGAAACCAAUUUUCAUUAUCUUUUUCAGUUAUGAUACACUGCCUGUUAUGAACGAUUGAAUUCUUUUUUUUCCUUUUACUUCCAUUUGAUUCAUUCCAGGGAGUGACACAUUUUUUCUGUAAAGGACAAAUAUUAAAUAUUUUUAGACUUGUGAGCAAUACAGUAUCUGUUGCAACUACUCAACUUUGUAAUGUAAAAGCAGCCACAGACAAUAGUAAAUGAGUAGGUAUGACUAUGUUUCAAUAAAACUUUACUUAUAAAAGCAAGCAAUGAACAGUGUAGCCCGUGAACCUUAGUCUGUCAACUCCUAAUGAAACUGGAAAAGUUCCCUUAUCUCCCUCACUUGGCGUGCGCAAUGGGGGUGUGACGCACUUAUUCAGGGCCCGGCUGGCUGCACAAACCUCUAGGAGAGCAUACAGCCAGGUAGGCUGUGGAGUUCCAAUCCCGCAUUCACUCCAUCUAGGGGUGAAUGUUUACAGCUGAAGCCCCUGUGGGUAUGUGUUAUAGGGUGCUCUUUUAGUUUAGCUGUCUGUAGGUGGCUUGUGUUAGUCACCUCAAAC